CCCUCGAUAGCUCAGUUGGCAGAGCGGAGUACUGGAGAUGUUACAAUGGUGAUCCUUAGGUCGCUGGUUCAAAUCCGGCUCGAGGGA
rnacentral:tRNA from 1 species